rnacentral:rRNA from 1 species
ACAAUUAAACCACAAAUUGUUCGCCAAAUAACUACGAGUAAAAACUUAAAAUUUAAAAGACUUGACGGUACUUCACAACAACCUAGAGGAGCCUGUCCAAUAACCGAUAACCCACGAUUAAUCCUACCCCCUCUAGCCUACAGUCUAUAUACCGCCGUCGCCAGCCUACCUUGUGAAAGAGAUAAAGUAAGCAAAACAAUACCACAUUAACACGACAGGUCGAGGUGUAACUAAUGGGGGGGGAAAGAUGGGCUACAUUUUCCACAAGAACAGACGAAUGCGGCUACGAAGCCGGCCGCUGAAGGAGGAUUUAGCAGUAAGAUAAGAAUAAAAUGCCUAACUGAAACAUGCAAUGAAGUGCGUACACACCGCCCGUCAUCCC